rnacentral:rRNA from 1 species
UACGGAGGGUGCAAACGUUGCUCGGAAUCAUUGGGCGUAAAGCGCACGUAGGCGGUCUCGUAAGUUGGAUGUGAAAGCCCUUGGCUUAACCAAGGAAGUGCAUUCAAAACUGCUUGACUUGAGUACCGGAGAGGGUCGCGGAAUUCUCGGUGUAGAGGUGAAAUUCGUAGAUAUCGGGAGGAACACCAGUGGCGAAGGCGGCGACCUGGACGGAUACUGACGCUGAGGUGCGAAAGCGUGGGGAGCGAACAGG